rnacentral:rRNA from 1 species
UACGUAGGGGGCUAGAGCGUUGUCCGGAAUCAUUGGCGUAAAGCGCGCGUAGGCGGCCCGGUAAGUCCGCUCUGAAAGUCCAGGGCUCGAACCCUGGAAAGCGGGUGAUACGUGCCGGGCUAGAAUCCGGAAGGAGGCGAGUGGAAAUUCCUGGUGUAGGCGGUCGGAAUGGCGCAGAGUAUCAGGAGGAACACCAAUAGCGAAGGCAGCUCGCUGGGACGGUAUUGACGCGUAAGGCGCGAAAGCGUGGGGAGCAAACAGG